rnacentral:rRNA from 1 species
GAUUUCUGGCUUGUCAACGGCCGGCCCGGGCCUUUGUGCUCGUGUGUCGGCUCGUUCGGGCCAUCCUUCCGACGCGUGCCGCUGCCCUUCACUGGGUUGGCGGUCUGCGCCGUCGGAUCUUUUACUUUGAAAAAAUUAGAGUGUUCAAAGCAGGCUUACCGCUGUGAAUACAUUAGCAUGGAAUAAUAACUUAAGACUUCGGUUUUAUUUUGUUGGUUUCUAGGACUGAAGUAAUGAUUGAUAGGGACAGUUGGGGGUGCUAGUAUUCAGCGGCCAGAGGUGAAAUUCUAUGAUUCGCUGAAGACUAACUUAUGCGAAAGCAUU